UGGAGCUUGCUCCUGAUGUUAGCGGCGGACGGGUGAGUACACGUGGGUACCUGCCUGUAAGACUGGGAUAACUCCGGGAAACCGGGGCUAAUACCGGAUGCUUGUUUGAACCGCAUGGUUCAAACAUAAAAGGUGGCUUCGGCUACCACUUACAGAUGGACCCGCGGCGCAUUAGCUAGUUGGUGAGGUAACGGCUCACCAAGGCAACGAUGCGUAGCCGACCUGAGAGGGUGAUCGGCCACACUGGGACUGAGACACGGCCCAGACUCCUACGGGAGGCAGCAGUAGGGAAUCUUCCGCAAUGGACGAAAGUCUGACGGAGCAACGCCGCGUGAGUGAUGAAGGUUUUCGGAUCGUAAAGCUCUGUUGUUAGGGAAGAACAAGUACCGUUCGAAUAGGGCGGUNCCUUGACGGUACCUAACCAGAAAGCCACGGCUAACUACGUGCCAGCAGCCGCGGUAUAACGUAGGUGGCAAGCGUUGUCCCGAUUUUUUUGGGGGGGC
rnacentral:rRNA from 1 species